rfam:Dipodomys ordii contig_2449, whole genome shotgun sequence.
GGGAAGUUGGCUCAGUGGUAGAGUGCUUGCCUCAUAUGCAUGAGGCCCUGGGUUCAAUUCCUCAGUACCA